rnacentral:rRNA from 1 species
GAGUAACUAUGACCCUCUUAAGGUAGCCAAAUGCCUCGUCAUCAUACGAAAAACAAGUGUACCAAAAACGCGUUCGCAAACCGGGGUUUACUCGGGUUAGUAGGGCCUUCGGGCUCGAAGGCCAGGGUCGAUACCGGAAGUGACCAGCCGAAGACUGAAAGGGGCCUAGGAUCAUACGGCAAGUCGAGAGACGAGCUAGAUUCCGGGACUCUGACGGGCAAGUAGGCCGCACCAAAUUGCACUGAGGACCCUUUCGGGGGGCCGAUGGGCAGCCAACCCGGAAGCGAGGAUUCUUCGGAUAUUCUUGCCAAGGGAGGUUAGAGACUAUACGGUGCUAGGAAAGGGAGUGCUGGGGAAGUCAUGAGCCCCAGCCAGUCCACCGAGGAGAGAUAGUCCGUCAUAGGGUAUGGAGAGCUUGGAGCGAGUGGUCCGUAAGGUCUGGGAUCCUGUAUUUAACUAUACGGGUGAAACUACCUAAGCGUCGGCCAGAGGCACCGGUUGCUCACGCCAUACCCGACAAACAGACGUUAAUUUGUGACGCGCAUGAAUGGAUUAAUGAGAUUCCCACUGUCCCUACCUACUAUCUAGCGAAACCACAGCCAAGGGAACGGGCUUGGCACAAUUAGCGGGGAAAGAAGACCCUAAACUCAAUGGGGUCAACAGGGGGCUGGUGGCAUGGGAUUAGUACUUGUUCCAGGGAUGGGCAGGGAAUCCUCCGUGUUGCUUGUGAAACCCUCUAGUCACACUGAUCAUUAGUCCUAGGAUUCUGGUAAGCAAGGAGUCCCGGGAAGUGCAAGUAAUCAGUUGGCAAGACAACCUGGUACGAGGAAAAUCCUAGGAGAGGGACCGUCAAUCCCUCGCUCUAGGACAAUCUCGUGGCGAGCCCCUAAGCAAGGCCGUCGUAACGUGCGGAAAGGUGUCGGUCUAGAUUCAUCUAGGCUUAAGGAACGUACUAAUCCCACACGUAAGUGUGCCUAACAGAGUAGGGCUUGCAUCCCGAGCCUGUUAGGGACUGUGCCGUGGUUAUCUGGUCGAAGGCUAACGCCUGAAAACCCCCCAUGGUUCGACUCAGGGAGGAAAUGCCCUGGGUAAAGUCCGGUAUAAUCAAUCAGUUGUGCAAUCUCGAGGGCUUACAUCCGGGAAAUUGAGGUCAAGUUUGUGGUAUGAGAGUUCACCGACGACGCUAGUUUUCAACUUGGGGGCUAGCUGAGGAAAAACUCACCCAAUCAUACAUAACACUGCUCAUUCGUGAGUGUCCUACGCUAACCUAUCACUAGAUUAAAUUGCAAUGGGAAAACGACCAUCUCUAAAGUACCGGCCAACAGGCUCAUACGUGGAAAGAGAGCUUCUCCAGCUCUUGGACAAGGCAAUAGGCGACAAAGGUACGGCAAAUCUUGCAAAAACAGGCUAGUGGACUAACGGACUAAUCAGCUAUGCGGUUCCUUUUUGGCGAAGUGUGUGGCACUACUCUAACUAUGCCUUCAGGUCGGGAUGUGGACCAAGAGACUGGGCUCCCAGCGAAAGCUGGCCCUGGUACCUGGGUAGGUAAGCUGAUAAGGCUGGCCUCUCAGGUAGUCAACAAUCCUUCCGGUCGGGAUCAGUGCUGGCUUAUCCCUUCUGGGGGUGAGUCCUAUCCACCCUUCAAGGUGGGGAGGAAAGCAACGGGUAAACAGGGAAAACCGGGGAAACAAAAGAACUGGCGAACGCACCGGGUAUUGUUCAUGCUGCGGAAACGCUGUGACCUCCGUCAAAAAGCCUCAAAAGGCUCGGGGGUAGACGAUCAUUGCCGCCAUAGUUGCGGUAAUGGUUGGCAUGACAAGACUCAGCGGGCUGCCGUGCUAUGCUGUGUCAAUCCAUGGUGUCUAGGCUUGGGCGGUGCGAAGAAGAAUCGGUCUGAAGAGCGUUGUGGGCACGGGGCACUGUGUUUAUGUCCACACGAUCCGAAGUGCAGGUUCAAUUCCAGAGUAACGGGUCUUCCCAGGCCCUGUCUCAAUAACCCUAAACGGGUUCCGGCUUGUAAGUGUACUCCGCGUUGCUAUCCUUGAUUGCUAGUAAUAAACUUCUCUUAAACAAAGGCAUUGUACUGGGUUUGGGGGGGGUGUUUACAAAAACUGGUUUAAAUGGUUGAGCUUGACUCUAGGCACAGAAGCGAGGUGAUUCUAAAGGUGUAGCAUAGGUGGGAGGGCCUGGCCCGACCUUGAAAUACCACCACUUUCGACAUCGCUUUGCUAAUGCUGUAACGAACGAACGGCCCCCGGAAGUUGCCCGUAAGGGUAGUUUUCGGUAAGGUCAUAUUCUAGCGCUUUCCUAGCGGGAUACGGUAACUUGGCUCCUCUGGGUGAGUACCUUGGAUCCACAAACUGGGCUUCCGGGUCUGGUGCGUGCUGCUUCUGGGGGAACUAGGGAUGGUCGGGCUGCCCUCUGUCCUGCAAAAUCGGGUACGUAAGCCGUGUAGCAGACACUCUGUGUUGGGGAGUUUGGCUGGGGCGGAAAACUGCUACACGGCAACGGCAGUCUCCUAAGGUCCACUCAGAGACGACAGAAACGUCUCGUAGAGCAUAAAGGCAAAAGUGGGCUUAACUUACAUUUUCAGUAGUAAUGUGAAGCAAGAAAUUGAGGCUUAACGAUCCUUAGCAGCGGGUGCCAGCCCAYGCUUGAGGUGAGAGAAAAGUUACCACAGGGAUUGAUCAAAACGCGUAGCUUUGGGGGGUUUAGCUUGGUUCCGGAUGGGGUCGAUAAGGUUGACGAGCCUUGAUCCCUGAAAGUCUCGGGUUAUUCUCCUUACGACUGGGUUUGUAGUAGCGAUCUCACUUAACUGCGGGAUUUCAAGGCAUCUCUGGUCUGGGUUCCAAUCCAAUACGAGGAGUUAGGGGAAAAGGCGGCUUUGCAGGCUGUCCGCUCUCCGUCCUGGGUCCAACAAGCGCACUGCAAAAAGGCGUGUACGGACCCGGGGAUUCCACGGCAGUCUACAUUCGAGGGUAAGCGCAGGUUUCCUCGGAUACAGGCGACACACCUGGUUGCUGGGACGACCCAUCCCAAACGGCGGCGGUACCAAGCGUUCCCCAGUGACUCUGGGGCGUGGAGUGUUCAUUGCUCUCUUCGGAGGCCGGUGGAUACGGGUAAUAAUCCGACGUCGGGGUUUACCAGCAGGCGACAAGGUCUACCCAAAGGGGCUAACUGGGGGAGAGCAGGCAUCCGUGCCAGCCGAUCCCGACUUGCCCUAUGGAACGGUGACUAAGCGUCUCAACGACUGGAAAGGUGUGGGCAUUGAUGGGUUCGAAGCCAAGUGAAGUCCCGGGGUUUUCCUCGGUUCAGAGCUAGGUGAUAGGAUCUGCUGGUGCUUAAGGUACAGUCUACUCCCACCCGCAAGGGUGUCUCGGACCACCAAGCCCGUGGGGACUCCCUUUUAUUAGGGAAGAUCCUCGGGUUGAUCCACUACUGCAGGAUCAGGUUCAGGAGGGCAGGGCUCGUCAGAGGCUCUUAUCCGUUAGCGUAGGUUCCCGGUAUCCCGUGGUAUUUCAACCCGGGGGACCACAUGGGUUCCGAGAGGAUAGGGGAAGAGGCGGGUCAGGUCUGGUACUGGGAACUGGCUUGUGGCCGCCAAGCGUUCAUAGCGACGUGGC